rnacentral:rRNA from 1 species
CCCCAGACUCCUACGGGAGGCAGCAGUGAGGAAUAUUGGUCAAUGGCCGGAAGGCUGAACCAGCCAAGUCGCGUGAGGGAAUAAGGCCCUAUGGGUCGUAAACCUCUUUUGCCGGGGAGCAACGGGGUCCUUGCGAGGGCCCGAUGAGAGUACCCGGAGAAAAAGCAUCGGCUAACUCCGUGCCAGCAGCCGCGGUAAUACGGAGGAUGCGAGCGUUAUCCGGAUUUAUUGGGUUUAAAGGGUGCGUAGGCGGGCUGUUAAGUCGGCGGUCAAGCGGGGGGGCUCAACCCCGGCCUGCCGUUGAAACUGGCGGCCUCGAGUGGGCGAGAAGUAUGCGGAAUGCGUGGUGUAGCGGUGAAAUGCAUAGAUAUCACGCAGAACUCCGAUUGCGAAGGCAGCAUACCGGCGCCCGACUGACGCUGAGGCACGAAAGCGUGGGUAUCGAACAGGAUUAGAUACCCCAGUA